GGGGGUGUAGCUCAGCUGGGAGAGCAUCUGGUUCGCAAUCAGAAGGCCGCCGGUUCGAUCCCGGCCACCUCCA
rnacentral:tRNA from 3 species